AUCUCGAAAAACAGUCCUCUUCUUGGUUCGAUUCUUUAUUUGGUUCACCGCAAGCCUGGAGGCAUUGUCCAUUCUUCCGUUCAGCAUCUGGUGAGGUUUUUCUGGGAUGCUUCUGAAUGUCUGCAGAGUAGACGCCGUGCGCUCGCGGUGGGCGGACAUCAGCCUUUAAGAUCUCGCAGAGCUGUUGCUCUCCAGUUGACGGCAGACGCCAGGUUGAAGGUCGCGGGAAAUCAUCUGCUCCGGGCACCAGCGAGCUAGAGUUAAAGCGUCUCAGAAGUACGCUUAGGGCAAAAAGAUAAAAUCGGUUUGAAGACGAACACCACGGAGCCGGUUUUGAGAGGCUCGUGGAGUCGAGUUCCUUGCGCUGGGUUUCGGCUGGGCAUAACAUAGCUGUGCGAACUGUAUGUGGCGGUUGGCGCGCGAAGAGGCAUGAAUUGCUUGAAAAAAUGCUAGCAAGGGGUUCGAUUAUGCAACCGCUCGUUGGAAUCCUGCUUCGAUGGUGACGAGUGCGGUUUUUCAACACGCUCAGCAAUGACGCUGCUUCGCGUGCGUGGCGCUGCGUCCGCACGACCGAUGCAGGGAUCCAGACUCUUUCCCCGAAGCGUCGGACCCAGACUUCGCGUAGUUUCGACGAUUGCUCCUCAAGCCAGGUUGCCGAAAAAUGCCUGCAAUGGCGCCAAUUCCGAAUUCAGCAGCAAUAGGUGAAUACUGUGCUUCGCAUCGCCUACAGGAUGAACUGAGGCAUCCGAUUCGAAUCGCAGCUUAGGAUCUUUAUAGUGUAUGGGGCCACUGAUGCUUCAUGGACGUCUCGUGAACUCUCUAGCGAACGCUUGCGCAAUUCGACUCAGGAAGAGCUCGUUCCACUUCACCGGUCUUGCUCUAUCGCAUGGGAUGCGCAGAUUCCGCCACCAUGGUGCUCGCCUGAAUGGAUUCUUCGAAAGCCGUAUUCACUGAACGCCUCGGAUGUACUAGGGUGCUUUGUACAAAGGAUCUUGUCCCAGAAAUAGACAAAAAUCCUGGAGCGGGUCGAGCACGCGUUGCCCCGUCGGUAACACCAUCGUUGCUGUCUAAGUGAUCCGCAGUACGAGCGAAGAGCGCAAAACUCGCGCAAACAGGAAUCAAACGUCACGAAAUUGUACAAAAAGUGUCCCGGAGGCGGUGUCCGUGUGAUUGCGAACAGACCCGCCCCGCUGCUCCUGUGUGCGCACGCAUGUACGCGUGUGCGCCUCGGGUACUGCCAUCGCUCGCCUAGCGGGGCAGCUUUGUCCCGCGGACCUGCGUAUGCGUAUUUGCGUGUUUGUGUGUGUUUGUGAAAUCAUACGGUGCAUACAUGCGACAUCAGCAUUCCAAGAGCAUGGCUGUCUAUAUGAAGCACGCAGGCGAGGCGUGCGUGCGAUCGAGCGUUGACAACGCGGUGCCGACGCACGUUCUGCAUGCAUGCCGUGUCGGAUGCGUGCGUCGCAGGCAUGCUCUCCCAUCUCCUAGGCGACAGCAAUAUGUUUUGUGCUGAAUCUUGGGGUUCUAUUUUCCAGUUGCGUCUGAAACAUGAGCGAAAACCGUUUCAAAACUGCAAGCAUACUAGGGACGAGUCGGAAGCUCAGUGCGCCGGACCUGCUUCGUGCACUCGAGACCAAACAUACGCCAGCGUCAAGCGAAUCCGCAAACCGGACUCUUUAUGGACCAAUGCCUCUUUCAAGAGCACUGCUUUCUAGGCAAAGGGCAUCGUCGCGUCUCGCAACCGCGUCGAUGACAAUCUAUGCCCAUGCGGGCCAGUGUCGGCUGCCGAGGAUGCCGCUGGAGCUGUGGCAGCGAGCGUUUCGAUUCUCUGAGUUUUUCGACUUUGUCAGCUUCUUUAUGGGGGCUAUGGAAAAUCCGUGUCAUGCGUGUUGGGUUCAACUGCGUGCGCUCUAUCGAAAUCUGUCCUCCGCUCGACUCACUGCGACGGAACGCUUUGUUUUGAACCUCGUUUGCCGGGUACACCCAAAGAUGCGGGCACUUGAUGGGUCGGCGAACCGCAGGUCGCACCGCGUGAAAAGGAAGUGCCCCUCCAACAUAGGCGACGAACCUGUGCCGUUUGGCCCCGACUGCAGUGCCAUCGCUGUCGACGUCGCGAUCGUGAAUGCAGAGCGACUCGGUGUGCCACGACGUCUCAUAGAGUCUGCUCUCGGAGAUAUCGCGUGGAGGCUCAAUUUCGUUCACUUUGGACAGAUGGUUUCCAGGGUUUCUAAUCUAGAUAUGCGAGCGAACAUUCUUCGCUGCGUUUUUGCACGCCAAAGGGUCGGUCCGCGAUCUGCUGCCGCGAAUGCCCUAGCAGCGCUCGAGACGGGCGCCGCUGACCGAAGCCUGGAGUUUCUGUGGCGCGUCGUACGCGACUGGGACACGGCGCGACGGGCGGAAUUUAUCGCUGUUGUGCACGCAGCGCUCUCGGAUCCGCAGCGUCUUUGCAGUCUGUUCUGCUCAAGAAUAGAUGGAGUGCCGGGUUUGAUCUGAUGAGAAUGGCGCUUCAAGCCGAGUUUUCUGAUGCGCUCGAGGACGAUGACCCUCGCAUAAGUCACUGUCUACGCUAUACUCGUGAUGAGCAAGUCAUUGUUUUGCGAAGGAACUGAAAGUGUACCACAGAGACGCACCAGUGUUCCCGCUUUCGGGAUGGCAAGAUUGGAUCUGGGCGAUGAUUGGUUUUCGCGCAUCCAGUGAGCAGAGUUACCUGCAUUCACCUCUGUUCCUCCCUGGAUCUCAAUUGCAUGCCAUUACAACGUCCGAUGUCCUCGAAAACCCGUUCAAUCGUGGAAUGAGUAGUGCUACAAUCACACCCGUACUGUGAUCGUCGAGGUUCCUCGGACCCGAGAUGCCGUCGCCGCGCCCGCCCGAUGCGUGACGGUCUCGGCCUUGCUUUUCUCGAUGAUGAUAUCGUGAUAUGAGUUUUUUGUAAGGUUUGCAGUCUGAAAACGGGUACCCAUGCGAAAUCACAGGUGAAACUUCAAUUUGGCGUCAAUGGGCGGCGCAUGCAACACCACGCAUCCUCAACGUACAAAGCUUCCGUCGGCAGCUUCUAGCCACGGGAAUGGACUCUAUGCUGAUUUUCCGCCAAAACUGCUACUCGCCCGCCGGCCUGGGCGUUAGGUGUGCCAAAUCACGACCGUCAGAGCGAUACCAUAGAGAUCGCGUAACUCCCGGAGACACAGUGAAGAUGUAUUCAUCGAAGGCUACCUCAUGGGCUAACUACCAACCACAACGGAGCGGUAUAACGCAUUCUGGCGCGUACAGUUUCCUCCAAAGUGCACGGUUCUCCAGCAUGUUUCAGUUGCGCGUUCUUAACGAGCACAUCCACUGGAAGCGAACCCGUCACCCAGGUAUCCGCAGCGUUCAGCUGGCGGACACGCUCGCCGACGGUUUGUGACUAUAAUGGACAUUGAUGCCCAUUUGCAUGGAUGCGACGCCAUGAGCACCUCCGCCGAAGCGCACACCAUCGUCAAUUGUAGAUGUUGGCAGACGUGUUCUCGCCCCUGCUUCGAAAAGGCAUCGUGCCUCGUCGACUGUCGCCACGGGCUCUAGUGUGUUCCCGUCGACGCAAUAGCUAGACCCGAAAGGGCCUCAAUGCAGUCCUUGGAAUGAGAGUUUGCUCAUAAC